GACGAACGCUGGCGGCGUGCCUAAUACAUGCAAGUCGAACGCUGAAGGAGGAGCUUGCUUCUCUGGAUGAGUUGCGAACGGGUGAGUAACGCGUAGGUAACCUGCCUGGUAGCGGGGGAUAACUAUUGGAAACGAUAGCUAAUACCGCAUAAGAGUAGAUGUCGCAUGACAUUUGCUUAAAAGGUGCAAUUGCAUCACUACCAGAUGGACCUGCGUUGUAUUAGCUAGUUGGUGAGGUAACGGCUCACCAAGGCAACGAUACAUAGCCGACCUGAGAGGGUGAUCGGCCACACUGGGACUGAGACACGGCCCAGACUCCUACGGGAGGCAGCAGUAGGGAAUCUUCGGCAAUGGACGGAAGUCUGACCGAGCAACGCCGCGUGAGUGAAGAAGGGUUUCGGAUCGUAAAGCUCUGUUGUAAGAGAAGAACGAGUGUGAGAGUGGAAAGUUCACACUGUGACGGUAGCUUACCAGAAAGGGACGGCUAACUACGUG
rnacentral:rRNA from 1 species